rnacentral:lncRNA from 1 species
CUUGUAUCUCAAGAACAUCCCGGUCUAUCAUGAGCAAUAAAAUUUAAGAUCUCGAGACCUUCAGAAUCUAACUUCCAAUAUAUUGUAAAAUUUGUUGUUUGACUAUUGUUGGAGGCUUUGGGCUAAAAUGCAUGUAUAAGAUUUAUUAAUACCGACAUUUUCGCCAAUUGGGAACGAUAGGUAGUCAUGAUUUCCUUCUCCUUCUCUGCAUCUCUGCUACUAGCCUUGGAAACCAGUGAUAGGUCAUCAGUUAAAGGUAGAAAUUUUAGGAAAUAUUGAAGUCAUCUGUUUACCAUCCCCA